CGGAGGACUCACAAUGAGCCGAACUGGGGAGCGAGUCAUCGCGGGACAGUGUAGUGCAGACCGGAGGACUCACAAUGAGCCGAACUGGGGAGAGAGUCAUCGCGGGACAGUGUAGUGCAGACCGGAAGACUCACAAUGAGCCGAACUGGGGAGCGAGUCAUCGCGGGACAGUGUAGUGCAGACCGGAAGACUCACAAUGAGCCGAACUGGGGAGCGAGUCAUCGCGGGACAGUGUAGUGCAGACCGGAGGACUCACAAUGAGCCGAACUGGGGAGAGAGUCAUCGCGGGACAGUGUAGUGCAGACCUGCCGCAGUCUUCCGCUGCCAGCGAGCAGCGCAGCUCAGCUCAGCUCAGCUCAGCCCCAGCACCGGGAAGCCUCUCUUCAACAGCUCAAGCCCUAGGCCGUCGGUGCCUCCGAAGCUCCGGGUCAGGUCCCGUCUCCCGACGCGGAUGGCGGGGAAUCGAAUGGAAGGCGUUGGUUUGAAGACGGGUUCAGUCGCCGGGACCCCGGACAGGCAAGUCGCUCGUGCCGCGGCGGGGGGUGGCGGCGCGGGAGACAAAACGCACCACCGCCGGUCCACCUGUCGCGUCCGCAAGCGCUUCGACGCCCCCGCAACGAAGCUCCUCGGGAACGCCAAGCGCGGAGGGAG